GGUUAAGCGACUAAGCGUACACGGUGGAUGCCCUGGCAGUCAGAGGCGAUGAAGGACGUGCUAAUCUGCGAUAAGCGUCGGUAAGGUGAUAUGAACCGUUAUAACCGGCGAUUUCCGAAUGGGGAAACCCAGUGUGAUUCGUCACACUAUCAUUAACUGAAUCCAUAGGUUAAUGAGGCGAACCGGGGGAACUGAAACAUCUAAGUACCCCGAGGAAAAGAAAUCAACCGAGAUUCCCCCAGUAGCGGCGAGCGAACGGGGAGCAGCCCAGAGCCUGAAUCAGUGUGUGUGUUAGUGGAAGCGUCUGGAAAGGCGCGCGAUACAGGGUGACAGCCCCGUACACAAAAAUGCACAUACUGUGAGCUCGAUGAGUAGGGCGGGACACGUGGUAUCCUGUCUGAAUAUGGGGGGACCAUCCUCCAAGGCUAAAUACUCCUGACUGACCGAUAGUGAACCAGUACCGUGAGGGAAAGGCGAAAAGAA
rnacentral:rRNA from 1 species